CCUCCCCGAAGCCUCCCAUUGUCCCUUAGGACCACCAAAAGAGAAAACGGGUUAGAGAGAACGCCUCAAUCGGGAUCCACAAGCAAACAUUUCCGAAAAACACUUCAUAGACAAUGCAAAUUACAAACAGACUUUACAAGCUCUGAACAGUGGCACAACAAAGGGUAAAAUGGUCCAUUACAGACCGAAAAUCUCUCGCACGUGUCCACAUAACACAACCUUUAUUUACAAGCCUAAAGAGGCCACCAACCCAACUAAAAUGAGACUAUUAAGCCUUCGGUCGCCCCUUUACAUGUUGUACAAGGCAUGAAUAUGCCAAAAGACACGGACAUACAUAAGCAUUACAUCAAACACCUUGUUUAGAAGUUUGUCCGUGACAUUCUCCCCCACUUAUUCCUUCGACGUCCUCGUUGAAGCCUUUGUCGACACUGCAACUCCUCACCUUUGCUGAGUCUUCAAUCUUCUGCUCCAGCUACAAUGCGCCUCUUGGCUCCCAGCUGCUCUCCACUGCUGUUUUUGAGUAGUCGAACUUUUGAUCCGCCAUGCUGCUUCAACUCACCAAUGACUCUGACUCUGGUGUGGGGUUGGCUGAGUUGUGUUGAUCCUUGUUGAUUCAUGCGGAUCCCCCAAAUGAAGGAAAAGACCAUCCUUACUGCGCUAGUCUCUCAAAUUCCUCUUGCUGCUUGAACUGGGUGGAUGCUUGUUGGAGCUUUAACGAGCAUCGUCUCGUAAACUUCUGAAGUUUUGGGUCCUUCCUCCACAACAUUUGCUCAUUGACUAUUCUUUCACUUAGUUGUCACAUCCAAGUAGGUUCGCAUCACUUCCGCUUUCGAUUGGCAUUUCGUUGGGAAAUGAAGCGGACAAUCUACUCUCAGUAAUACUGAUCACCGUUGGUGAGGAUUUGACAACUAUUGUCUUCCAUUAUCUUCGAAGGGUCUUUGAACUUGUGCAGAGCUCCUUUACUGGAUAGAUAAGAGAAUUGGGGUACUCGGUUUCGCCCAUUCUCUUAAGAGUUGAGAAGGCAAAGGUUACUUGACUUCGCCCGCCUCCUCGAGGUUGUACUCCAUGCAUCGAGCUGGUUGCUAGCCUUUGCCUGCUCUUUGCUCACACUUCUGAAGCACUUGAAGUGUUUGCACUCCUUGCGUUGAGUUAGUUACUGUGAUUCACUUUCUCAAUACCAUUGAACUUCUGGAAUGCAGGAAGUUUUCACUCCAACUUGGAGUAAUUCUCACAUAGGUUUGGUCGCCUCUGGGAUUGUACCGUCUUCUCCAUCAACCUUGCCGCCUACUCCACUAAGUAGCAAAGGUACAACACCGCGUACUGCCUGCUUCGUUCCUUGGUUAUGCACUCUUGCAUGACCCGAAGUCCUUUACUUUCGGCUAUCUUGAUGAGAAGCUCAUUGACACCGGUCUUACGAAGUUCUUCGGCCUCUGCCCUUCAGCCUUGUCUCGGUACUUGGAGAUUGCCUCUGCAUUCUCCACCUCCUCGGCCCCUUUCACGACCAAGCGCUCUCCCUCCAUGAGAGCAAGGGAUCAAUGACUUUCACGGAAGUCCCGCCUCUGCGGUACCAUGGCGCUGCCAUGCCCAUAACCAGUAGAUAUGUAUCCGUCGCCUCGCAUCUGCAUCCCUUUUCUUCACGAUCAGUAGAUAUGUCUCCAUGGCACUCCUCUGAGUCCACCUCCAUUCUAACUGAUGCUUGAUUUUGGGUAGCUAAGUCCCUCUGGACUCGUCGUCGCUUCCUCGCCCCUUUCGACCCCUUGCUUCAACACCUCUGUGUUCUCCAAGCAGUCCGUUUGGUCGAUAGAAAGACAGACUGCAACUCCCAUGCAUGGCCUCUGCCAUCACGUUGUAGGGUUUGCACCGAUUCUGUUCUCCUUAGCUUCCUUGGUAGCAACGUUCGCUUACUCGGCCUUGUCCUCUGACUUGCCAGGCUCCCUUAAGCGAAUAUGAGCUCUAGAGCAGUCCAACUCUCCAGCUGCUUCGAUCAUACCUCUGCAUGAUCAAGUUCCUCCCAUGGAACUCACUGGUACUUGCAUUCGAACUUUUCCCUUGGUGGAACCCAGCCCCCAUAUGCUGAUGACCAAGGUUUUCAUCCGAUGCAAAAUUUGAUGCACGCACGGAAGACCCGCCUCUGCGGUACCAUGGCCUUCACUCCUUGAAUCCAUAGCCCUUCUUGCCGUCGUGUUGUUCACCGAAGUGGAGCUCCCAGUAGCUCCCGAUCAUACCUCCAUAUGAUCUAGUCCCUCCCGGGACAAGACUGUGUGUAUCGCAUUGCCGCGAACUAUCCCACCACGAUCCGCUGCACCAUGUCGCCUCCUGGUGACAUCUCCAUUGCAUUCUGAUCCUUGUGGAAUAAACUCGAAUUGUGAACCCUCCAUGUGUGGCCUCUACCAAUACAUCGCAGGGUCUCCUCCACCUUCGAUUUUGUUCGCUCCUUUGGCAAUCGACCUUCAUCCACCCACUCUUGGGUCACACCUAGAUGAAGCACCGCUCUAGGACAAUCCGUCGCCUAGUAGCUCCCGAAGUCCACCGACUUCACUAUAAUUUGUGCACCAUUGUCUGGAUCCUGGGCCUCUGCCCCUACUAGCACAAUCUCCGUUGCGCACUGCUUCCUUCAUGGCAACUUGAAUGACAACACUGUGGCAUAUUCUUCAAGAGUACCCACCUCUGAGUCCUCUUGCCCCGUGCUAAGGCCUUCUGAACCCAAUUUCGCCUCCGCAAAUUGAGUCGCCUUAGUUCCUCCAUCAAAUGCUUCUCCGAGAUAAGGUGCAUGUGCCCAGAAGCUCCCUUCGUCUUUGGCACCAUGCAAGAUGAGUCCGCUCCGUUAGAAAGAAGGACCCAUGGAACAACAUGAUCCUACUCUUGCCUCUGCAAGAGUUCAUGUCCUUGACCUCUGUCUAAGAAAAGCACUGUGCCUCUGCUCCAUGUUCCAACUUCUAUGCUGGCUCCCUUCAUGCAGCUUGGGUACUUCGCUAAGUUACACCCAAGUUGCUCCGCUCCUCGUUUUCACAUUGAGUUGAUGGUGGCCCUCGCGCCCACCAUUCCACGGGUCAGCCCUCCCUUGAGUCCGAUCUCCACAUCGACUCCAAGUGUGCCUUCAUUUAAGUUGCUUUGGGUCGCUCCCCCACUUGAUCUUGCAAUGCAUCCACCGAUGCAUUCUCUCAAGCGAGAUCAUACGACGACUCCUCGCCGCUUGCUCAGUCCAUCGAGCUUCGUGGAGUUGUUGUUUGUUGAGGUACUCCUCCGUCUCACAUGAUUCUCCCUCUGGAGAGCUGGGACUUAUCCCUCCUGGAUAACUAUCCCGUUGGAGCAACAUCUCUCUUCGUUUCGGAGACCACCAUCCCCUUGGACUACUCCGAUCUGCUGAACAGACUGUGCAUUGUUCUGCCUCCUGCAAACGCACUUGCUAGAUUGCGACUCCCCGUCAAUACAGCCCCCGCUGCACCCCUCAAGGCCUAGCAACAUGCUGAACUCGUUGCACACUUCAGCCUCCUACGGACGUAUCCUUCACAUGCCGAAGAGAAAGUUUCAAUGCUCCAUGGCGCCGAGUUUCGGUCGCCGUGGGAUGGCCACGAACAUUCCAUCGUCCGCAUACAAGCCCAUGCAUGAGUACCAAAUUCUUCGAGUUAGCAAUUCCCCUCACCUCUGCGAGCUUUGCAUAACUCUUUUGGUCGUUGAGCAACUCAUUCCACCUUGGAUGGUCUCAUCAAUUACCAAGCGCCUCGCUUGUCUUGAGCACCAUCAAGUAUAGUUGUUAACGUUGAGCCGUAGCUCAAACUCAGCCAUCCCACCCUUUGUGCACUCCACAUUCUUCCAAGCUUGCCUGUUCUCGUGGUGCCUCUUGCGCGAAGGGUUGGCCAUUCGGCUGAAUGCCAAUCUCAGAUGCCCGCUCCUCUGAGCGACUCCUUUUCCCUACAUCUCCAUGCCCGUUUUCCCCCAAACGGUCGCCGCGCGUGUGCUGACUGCCCUCAACGCAGUCCCGCUAGGUCCCCCACGUUUGCAUGCUAAGUGUUUCUAUGAGUGCUUGUCCCGCUCUGAUACCAUAUGUCACGGACUUAGCUGGUUUUGCCUAAGUCGUGCGGCACCCUUGCGUGUCCGUCCGCAAAGGCCAACCUCCCCGAAGCCUCCCAUUGUCCCUUAGGACCACCAAAAGAGAAAACGGGUUAGAGAGAACGCCUCAAUCGGGAUCCACAAGCAAACAUCUCCGAAAAACACUUCAUAGACAAUGCAAAUUACAAAUAGACUUUACAAGCUCUGAACAGUGGCAUAACAAAGGGUAAAAUGGUUCAUUACAGACCGAAAAUCUCUCGCACGUAUCCACAUGACACAACCUUUAUUUACAAGCC
rnacentral:lncRNA from 1 species